GCUGGAUGCCCAGGUGCUCCCACUUGUGGACCAGGACUGAACGCAGGCAGUGCAACAUGGAGCUUGCAUUGUGUUGGGUUUUCCUGUUUGCAAUUUUGAAAGGUGUCCAGUGUGAGGUGCGACUAGUGGAGUCUGGGGGAGACUUGGUGCCACCUGAGGGAUCCUUGAAGCUCUCCUGUGUGGCCUCAGAAUUCACCUUCAGUAGCUAUGACAUGAGCUGGGUCCGCCAGGCUCCAGGGAAGGGGCUAGAAUGGAUCUCAUACAUCACUCGGAAGGGGCUGGAGUGGGUCACAAGCAAUUAUGGUGGUGGUAGCACAUACUACGCGGACUCCGUGAAGGGCCGAUUCACCGUCUCUAGAGAAAACGCAAAGAACACGCUGUAUCUGCAAAUGAACAGUCUGAGAACUGGGGACACGGCUGUGUAUUACUGUGCAAGAGACACAGAUGAAAAUUACAGGCAUACCCAUACUGAUGAGGAUGUGGAAAAAUUAGAGUACCCAGAAAUGAAACCUGACCUGAAGAGGCAUCACCAUAAAAAGCUGGUGGAGAACACUGUAGGAUUCAGCUCACACCCAUAUGGACUCUUGUAA